GAUGAACGCCGGCGGCGUGCCUAACACAUGCAAGUCGAACGGAGUCGUUUUGGAAAUCUCUUCGGAGAUGGAAUUCUCGACUUAGUGGCGGACGGGUGAGUAACGCGUGAGCAAUCUGCCUUUAAGAGGGGGAUAACAGUCGGAAACGGCUGCUAAUACCGCAUAAAGUAUCAAAUUCGCAUGUUUUUGAUGCCAAAGGAGCAAUCCGCUUUUAGAUGAGCUCGCGUCUGAUUAGCUGGUUGGCGGGGUAACGGCCCACCAAGGCGACGAUCAGUAGCCGGACUGAGAGGUUGAACGGCCACAUUGGGACUGAGACACGGCCCAGACUCCUACGGGAGGCAGCAGUGGGGAAUAUUGCGCAAUGGGGCGAACCCUGACGCAGCAACGCCGCGUGAUUGAAGAAGGCCUUCGGGUUGUAAAGAUCUUUAAUCAGGGACGAAGCAAAUGACGGUACCUGAAGAAUAAGCUCC
rnacentral:rRNA from 1 species